UCUGUCUCCAUCCAUGAGCAGCCAAGUCCCAACCCCUCUCUCUCCCUCGUUUCCGGCGGAGGUUCCAAAAGAAAAGGCUUUCUUAUCCCCAUAACUCUAGCCCUCUCCUUCUCCCUCUACCUUGGUUCCUCGACUCCCUCUCCCCCAGUCUCUCGUUACCUCCACCCAAUGUGAUAGUAGGAGAGUAGUUGAAUUCUACAACUGAGGUAGCGGCGUAGCACCGCGCGACAAUCAAGUAUUCGGACUCUGCGACCAAGUAUAUAGGGCUUCCAAGUCAGAGAGAAGUUGUCAAACAUCUUUGAAAGACUUGAUGUUUAACAUCAAUUUCUUCCUUUGGCUUUUCCAACGAUGAUCUGGAUGGGUUCCAAAUUCAACUGUAAACAUGUUUAUGUUACAGAGUGUUUUAUUAAUGUAAUGUUGUUUGCAUCUAUUUGAUAACCAAAACAAGAAAAUCAUCCAGACAUGCAGAGUUGCCUCUGUUACCAUUGAGAAACUGUUAAUGAUCUUCAAUUUCUAUUUUGAAUUGAUGUGGUCCCAUUUGAGUCUGUUGUUAAUUGUUCAA